rnacentral:rRNA from 1 species
CCUACGGGGGACAGCAGUGGGGAAUAUUGGGCAAUGGGCGCAAGCCUGAACCAGCAACGCCGCGUGAGGGAAGAAGGCUUUGGGGUUGUAAACUUCUUUUAAGGGGGAAGAGCAGAAGACGGUACCCCUUCAAUAAGCCACGGCUAACUACGUGCCAGCGGCCGCGGUAAUACGUAGGUGGGAAGCGUUGUGCGGAUUUACUGGGUGUAAAGGGCGUGCAGCCGGAGAGACAAGUCAGAUGUGAAAUCCACGGGCUCAACCCGUGAACCGCAUUUGAAACUGUUGCCCUUGAGUGUCGGAGAGGUAAUCGGAAUUCCUGGUGUAGCGGUGAAAUGCGUAGAUAUAACGAAGAACACCAGUGGCGAAGGCGGAUUACUGGAUGAUAACUGACGGUGAGGCGCGAAAGCGUGGGUAGCAAACAGGAUUAGAUACCCUUGUAGUC